AGUGAACGCUGGCGGUAGGCCUAACACACGCAAGUCGAACGGCAGCACAGUAAGAGCUUGCUCUUACGGGUGGCGAGUGGCGGACGGGUGAGGAAUACAUCGGAAUCUACUUUUUCGUGGGGGAUAACGUAGGGAAACUUACGCUAAUACCGCAUACGACCUACGGGCGAAAGCAGGGGAUCUUCGGACCUUGCGCGAUUGAAUGAGCCGAUGUCGGAUUAGCUAGUUGGCGGGGUAAAGGCCCACCAAGGCGACGAUCCGUAGCUGGUCUGAGAGGAUGAUCAGCCACACUGGAAAUGAGACACGGUCCAGACUCCUACGGGAGGCAGCAGUGGGGAAUAUUGGACAAUGGGCGCAAGCCUGAUCCAGCCAUACCGCGUGGGUGAAGAAGGCCUUCGGGUUGUAAAGCCCUUUUGUUGGGAAAGAAAAGCAGCAGGUUAAUACCCCGCUGUUCUGACGGUACCCAAAGAAUAAGCACCGGCUAACUUCGUG
rnacentral:rRNA from 1 species